AUUGAACGCUGGCGGCAUGCCUUACACAUGCAAGUCGAACGGCAGCACGGAGCUUGCUCUGGUGGCGAGUGGCGAACGGGUGAGUAAUAUAUCGGAACGUACCCAAGAGUGGGGGAUAACGUAGCGAAAGUUACGCUAAUACCGCAUACGAUCUAAGGAUGAAAGCAGGGGAUCGCAAGACCUUGUGCUCCUGGAGCGGCCGAUAACUGAUUAGCCAGUUGGUGAGGUAAAGGCUCACCAAGGCAUCGAUCAGUAGCUGGUCUGAGAGGACGACCAGCCACACUGGAACUGAGACACGGUCCAGACUCCUACGGGAGGCAGCAGUGGGGAAUUUUGGACAAUGGGGGCAACCCUGAUCCAGCAAUGCCGCGUGAGUGAAGAAGGCCUUCGGGUUGUAAAGCUCUUUUGUCAGGGAAGAAACGGUGAAGGCUAAUAUCCUUUGCUAAUGACGGUACCUGAAGAAUAAGCACCGGCUAACUACGUGCCAGCCGCCGCCGUAA
rnacentral:rRNA from 1 species